rnacentral:rRNA from 1 species
UGGCGAGCGAAAGCGAACUAGGCCAAUGACCGGUGUGUAAUAACAGGAAGCAGAUGGGAAGCUGCGCGAUACAGGGUGAAAGCCCCGUACUGGUAAAAAGCACAAAGGUAUACGAGUAGGGCGGGACACGUGAAAUCCUGCUUGAACAUGGGGAGACCACUCUCCAAGCCUAAGUACUCCUGAGUGACCGAUAGUGAACAAGUACCGUGAGGGAAAGGUGAAAAGAACCGCGAGUAGCGGAGUGAAAUAGAUCUGAAACUGAACGCUUACAAACAAUCAGAGCAAUCUAAUGUUUGGUAUAAUUUUUUGAUUCUUGGUCAAGCAAUUGAUUUAAUUUUAAGAUAGUACUGUAUGACGUUAUAGAUUGUGAUGAUGUACCUUUUGUAUAAUGGUCAGCGAGUUUAUGUAUGUAGCAAGCUUAAGCCGGUAGGUGUAGGCGUAGCGAAAGCGAGUUUUAAGUAGUAGCGCAAGUUACAUGCAUAAGACCCGAACGAGUG